AAAGUCCGUAACAAGGUUUCCGUAGGUGAACCUGCGGAAGGAUCAUUACCGAGUGAGGGCCCUCUGGGUCCAACCUCCCACCCGUGUUUAUCGUACCUUGUUGCUUCGGCGGGCCCGCCUCACGGCCGCCGGGGGGCAUCCGCCCCCGGGCCCGCGCCCGCCGAAGACACACAAACGAACUCUUGUCUGAAGAUUGCAGUCUGAGUACUUGACUAAAUCAGUUAAAACUUUCAACAACGGAUCUCUUGGUUCCGGCAUCGAUGAAGAACGCAGCGAAAUGCGAUAAGUAAUGUGAAUUGCAGAAUUCAGUGAAUCAUCGAGUCUUUGAACGCACAUUGCGCCCCCUGGUAUUCCGGGGGGCAUGCCUGUCCGAGCGUCAUUGCUGCCCUCAAGCACGGCUUGUGUGUUGGGCUCUCGCCCCCCGCUUCCGGGGGGCGGGCCCGAAAGGCAGCGGCGGCACCGCGUCCGGUCCUCGAGCGUAUGGGGCUUCGUCACCCGCUCUGUAGGCCCGGCCGGCGCCCGCCGGCGAACACCAUCAAUCUUAACCAGGUUGACCUCGGAUCAGGUAGGGAUACCCGCUGAACUUAAGCAUAUCAAUAA
rnacentral:rRNA from 1 species